rnacentral:tRNA from 2 species
ACCGGGGUAGCUCAGUUGGCAGAGCAAGGCACUUUUAAUGCCUGAGGCGCGGGUUCGAUUCCCGCCCCCGGUACCA